AAAGCUUUUUAAGCUCAGAAGUUGUCAUCAACUUGUAAGCAGCGCAAGACAAGUGCGUGAAUGUCGCUAUGGGGGUAAAGAUGUCACUGAACACAUUUGCAAUCUCCGAAAACGGUUUACAGACUCUCUGUCCCUUAACUGUGACAUGUUUUGGGGACGUGACGAGAGGCAGCAGUGGUGACGGCGGACCCGUUCCGUAGGUCUGUCAAGGAAUGUCUUGAUGUUACUCAACCACCACUUGCCGCAUUUUAACACCCAGCUUGUCCUAAAUGUAGAAAGCCUGUGAUGUUUAGAGAAUGUGGAAGAAAUCAGCGAUAGGUAAGGUAAACUCGUGCUUUAUCAUUCAACCCAGCAAAGAUAGAUCUCGGUAACCCAUUGCAAAGAGACCGGAAGUUGCUCUCUAAUUAUGGCGGCCCGAUGACGUAACCUGACAUCUGAUUGUCAGUUCAUGCGGCUUGUCGCUCGUCGGCUUACCGAUAUAUCCUCAUCUGGCCUGAUGAAAACAAGCUUGCCGUCGGACCUUCAGCGCCCGAUAGCUCGGCGACAACUGCUGUGUUGUCGCUGUCAUCAUCUCCGUCAUCAAACAGCGCCGAAGCUCUCCACUGACUCACCUUGGAGUUUACACUUGAGGAGCAUGUGAAAUAGGUGCAGCAGACAGCGCGACAUUUCUGAGGAGCCACCGGCAUCUCAUGGACAUGUACCAGACACGUGUGACCAGCGGGACGUGGCUGAGCUGACUCCGCAAGAAUGUUCUGGAGCAUGGCGAGGAGGUCUGAUGCACCAAACACCUGGUGUCAUUGAGACAAACUGUCAGUGUCUUGACGAUAUGCGACUGGCAUGAAAGAAGUGUGGAUUUUUUUUUUUAAUUGGGGAGGGGGAGUGGUGUCCGAGCUUAACUUUUUGCUCUAAUUUAAUGUCAGUAGUUACAGGGCAGCUGGGAAUAGGUUUUCCCGUUUUCCCUUCUGUUAAAACGCAAAACAGUACCGAGGCCAGUCCCAGACAGGGAUAGAACUUUGUUUCCUUUGGAGAGAGAAGUCAUUGAAUGCGUAACACGUGUGUGUGUGUGUGCACGUGCGCUGUUUCCUUAUUUUAUCUCCUAGUUUUGUGUGCAGCCAAACACAGCAGAUGCUAAACACAUGCAUGGCAUUAACUAUUAUCGUGUAAUGCAGAGCCUAGCGCUGCAGUAGAUCUGACAUUCAUCCCAAUAGUCCUGAGACUUUUUCUGGUCCCAAAGAGAUUCCGAUUCCCCCCACACACACACACAGCGCUUCCUGUCUCAGCUACUUGACUAGAUAGCUUCGUCCUUUACCGUACAAUUUUCAUUCUCUUUACUCUUUGUUUAUAUAUAUAUUUGCAGUCAGAGCCAUCACACACCUGCCACAUGCUACACAUUCUCGCCUGACCACCAUCAUCGCCACCACAUCAGAUUCUAAUCUUUCAGCAGAUUAAAACUGCUCCAGAUGCUUACCUGUCACUCACAUAUUGAUGCUGGCCCGCAGCCACUGGCCCUAGGUUUGCCGUCCGAGGUGCUUCUCUCCCGCAUUAUUCAUACUCAAUUUGAGGAAACUUUUUUUUCUCAUAACCUCAUGUGAUGACAUACUACAAUUAUUUCUGGGAAGUUGCCCACAGCGCCGUAACUAUUAGUUCAUGCGAUGAGGUUUAAAAAUAUUUGCCGAUCGACUGGAAAUAACCCCGAGAGAUUCAAGCAGCAGGUUAUUAAAAAGAGUAGGACGCAGGGUUCGAAGCGUUUUCCAUUUCGCACAGUUAAUAUUUUUGUCAUGCAGUUCGACAUGUCACUGGAAGUCAUAGAAGUUUAAAAGGCGAACUCUUUUCUCUAACGAAAGCCAAACAGCAAAGAGAAAAGUCGCCAUCGAACUGCUACCAAUCUAAUACAAAGGCGUGAUCGCUGGACAUUUUCUUCGGCCUUGAAGACACUGGUAGGUACAGAGAGAGAGAGUGUGUGUGAAGGAGAAAGAGAAUGACCAACGUGAAAAAACACUGUUUGUUCUAGAUAUUAAGUUUACAACUAAGCUUGCUUUCGGAGCAUAGAAGCGCCGUGCUGUAGUUGCGUUGCAGACGAAGAAAGCCAUGAAGUCUUGGUGACCAAGCAGACCGAAUAGAUUCUGAAAAGAAUACAUUUUUAACACUUACAUAAAAUCUUAUUUCCCAGAACAAAGGUUUUUUAAAGGCUGUGUCAGGCUACAGUGCGUGUCGAGAUAUGGAACAGUAGGCAAAGCCCAUAAAAACCAUGAUGUUAGGAAUUUGUUGCAUGGAUCGUGUGAAGCUUCUCUCUGUUGAAUUCACUGAGAGGAAACUGUGUGUGGUUUAUAUUAACUUAGAAAGUUAAAGUUCGUGCAUCACGUCCUCUUCCAACGGAGUUUCUCACUCCAGUAAAACUGUAUUCCUCCUACUUCAAGUUCUAGUUCAAAUAAAAUAUUAUUAAAGUUAGUAUCACCUUUGCCCCAUCCCCACCCUAUCAUCUCUACAUUUGUUGGAGAAGCAGAGGCGGAGCAAGAGAAAGAUGAUUGACGGGCCCAUGCUUAACGAACACCGAUCUUAGUUUAGGGACUAGCAUCUUGUCACUGGGAGCUGAUUGCCUGGAACGUUCUGGCAGGUGACACUGUAUAUAAACCGGACGGACUGCGGCGCGUCUUGGAAUGCGGCGAGGUGAUCCUCCGGCACAGAGCUACGACUGCCGUCCAGCACACGCAGAGUACAAAGGACGUUUGUCUGCUGCUGCUACUGCUGUUGUUGUUGUUGCUGCUGCUGCUGCUGCUGCUGCUUCUUCGACUUUGCCGACGUUAGAGUGAAGAUCUCGCCGCACUCGCCUCGCCAUUGCCGACUGGUGCAUCUGAUCGUCCUCGUUGGCUUGCCGGAUCUUCACGCUUGCUGCUGUCCGUAUUCGUAGACCGUGUUCCUCCAGAAGAGUCGCUGGGUCACAGCUUGGGUCCAGGUUCAGGCAGUUUCUCAAACAGCUCGAGCCAGGGAACGUUAGUUUGCGACCAUGUCGUUCGGAAUGGAUGACGUCGUGAUGAGCAUUUACUUGCCCUACAUCGAAGGAGCACCUUUGCCCAGGCCCCCGACUUCCAGAAUCUUUGGCCGACGCUGAAGCCGCCCCGCAUCUCUUUUCAAACGGGCCUCGCGUAUGUGCUUGGACUCAACCACAAAGAGACAUAACCCUAAAGAAAUUUUGUCUGUACAAUGAUUAACAACGUGCAGUCUUCGUCCCUCCCCCCGCCAUUCCCUGCCACCCCAUAAGCUCUUUGUGAAACCUCGAUAUUUCUUGUUCGCUGGGAAGUUCUUGCCACCACUAGGGUGUGAUUUAAUUGCUUUCUGAAACAAAGAAAAAGAAAUCACUUCCUGAAGGAUUAUGGAUUGUUUGAAAUGUUCGCAUCACGAUCUUUCGCUAACUUCAUCUCUUUAAAGAAAAUCAGUUUCCGUUGAAGACGUGUGGGAACACCGUUGCCGUUGACGACGGGAUGAGGGGGGAGGUCAAAGGGAUGUGGCAUCAUGAACAGUGAGCGGAUGUAAGAAACUUUUUUUUUUUUUUUUUGAUGAUAAAGCGUUGUGUUAUCUGACCAGCUUGACAUCACCAACAGUAAGUUAAGAAAAAACAAACUUGAUGGUUUCGUGUCAUAGAAUUGGAAAUGAGUGCAGAGACUUCGCCUUGCUUUUCAAUAUUUAUGGAGGCGGGAGAUGGAGUGCUCGGAAAUUCCUCCAGCUUAUCCCUAGGGAAGCUUAAAAUAGCCCGGUUUAGAUCAUCGCCUGUUAUCAGUCUUAAUCCCAGUUUCGUCGAUUUCCUCCCGCCUACCCACAGUCACUCGUCCUUUCAUCCCCACAACCCCUCCCUCACCCCUAAGGGCGCCCCUUCUAUUCUGUGUGCGACAUGUAUUUUGGAUUCAAAUGAACGCGCAGUUCCACUAGUUUCCUAGAGUCACACCGUGCACUCACUCUAAUGGAUAGGCGAAAGACCCGUUGGUUCAGAUGAGGUCACACAUUCCAGAAUAGGAGUCAGCUGCAACUUUCAAGUGAAGUGACACGUUACAACCGGUUGAGUCCUCCAGACUUCUGAUCGUUUGACACUUGCACGCGCGAAGAGAAAUGAGGGUGGGGGAAGAGGGGGGAGUGACGGUGAUGAGAGAGGACUCUGAACUGCAAUGGAGACAGAUGCUGGAGGUGAGAAGAAGAAACUACAAUGGUACGAGAUGAACAGUAUGGACAGUGGGAGUACUGUUCAUUUUGUUUCAGUCGUUCAAAACUGUCAUGAACAAAUAACUUAUUAUUUUUUAAAUAUAUUUUUUCUUUGUUCAAAAAUUUUCAUCUCCUUAUAUUUUCUAACAUACGUUCGAAUUCGAACAUAUUUUCUCUGUUAAUAUUUUAAAACUUUGUCUGAUAUUCUUAUUUAAAAUACUUAAAAAAAUGUUGUUUCUGUAAAAAUAUUUAUUGAAAGAUGGAAAAUGAAAAAGUUGACCAUUUUUCCUUUUUCUCUGCUGAAAUCUUCGCCUGUUCCUUGUCAUUUUUUUUUAGUUGUUUGGUUUAAAUGUAAAUUUAAACUCUGCCUACAAUACUAUUUACGUUUUGUACAUAGAAGACAUACAAUUUAUUUUGUCUGAAUCUAGCAAAACCAUCACAUUUAAUAUUCCAGGUGAUAGAUGUUCACAGUUUGGUUUAGAGCCCUUUAUCCCCUCUGGCCGAAGUUUGUUAAUUGUCAGAGGAGUAAUUGUCAGUGAAGGUCUGCACUGUUGUGUUGGUGCAUUAAUGUCGACAAUUGUCGUUGACCGGAAAGAUUGACAGUAAAGCACUCAUUAUUUUGUUGAACUUAGAAAAAUGUCAAUGUUAUACGGUGUAUGGUCUAGGUGUCAAACUUCUCUGCUACAUUUUCUUUGGUGUUCAAGAGGUUUUCUUGUCCGCAGCACUGAUAUCCCAGAAGGCACCAUCAAUGCCCCUAGACGUACGUGCGUCCACGAACUAAUUAUCCUUGGUGCGUCUACUUACUGUCAGCUGACAAUAUUGUCAUCGAAAUCCACUAAACCACCUUUCUUGAAUGAAUCAAACGAUGGCAUCCGUUUUAUUCGGCAGAAAGGUUGCUGUUGGUAGUAAGAUAAAAUACGGCCUCGGGAAGCACUUGGUUACACACAAAAAACAACCCUAAAUUAAAAUAAGGUAUCGUGAAAUAAAUUAUCUUAAAGCCAUUAUACCAUUAUGGGGGAAAAAAACCAAGAAACAAACAGUAAAACGAUUUUUUUUAAAAAACCCAUCGGAAUAAGUAAGGUCAAAAGAAAGCUAAACUAAAAUUAUGGUGCACGACGAAAGAAGUUUGGGUGAAUAGGAAAAGCAAAUGACAAUAAAUUCUACAUACAAACCUUUCUUGGAAGAUUUUCUAGUUAAAAAAGAUUUUUCGUGGAACAAGAUUUUUUUCACGUUGAUUUCUGGCAACAUUAUGCAAAUAAAAAAAUAAAAAA